rnacentral:rRNA from 1 species
UACGUAGGGGGCAAGCGUUGUCCGGAAUCAUUGGGCGUAAAGCGCGUGUAGGCGGCUCGAUAAGUCUGCUGUGAAAGUCCAAGGCUCAACCUUGGGAUGCCGGUGGAUACUGUCGAGCUCGAGUCCGGAAGAGGAGUGUGGAAUUCCUGGUGUAGCGGUGAAAUGCGCAGAUAUCAGGAGGAACACCGGUGGCGAAGGCGGGUCUCUGGGCCGUAACUGACGCUGAGGAGCGAAAGCGUGGGGAGCGAACAGG